CGGCGUGUAGCGCAGCCUGGUAGCGCACUUCGUUCGGGACGAAGGGGUCGGAGGUUCAAUUCCUCUCACGCCGACCA
rnacentral:tRNA from 2 species